UGUUUACCACUUCCACUUUUGGAAAGUCUGGUUAUUUUCAGUUUUCAGUAUAUAAUUAAUGGUUUGAAUUCUUAGUGCACUGAAAUAUGUUCAUCUUUGAGAUGAGUGAUUUCCCUGAAAUAGAACUGCUGGGUUGAAGAGUUUUUAAAAAUGGAUUGUAUGUAGUUUGGGGCUGAAGAUUUUGCAAGGUCACGGGACAUACUCCUGUACUGCUUUUUGAAAGAGCACAGACUAGUAACAGCCAGUGAUGAGCUCCUCGUAAAGGCUCGUCUAGUCUCACUGUGGCGGCUUUUAACAGCAUAAGCAUGAAAUUAAAAAAGAACGUGUUUCUUCAUAUCACCGUGACUGUUGUAACAAAGAUUUUUCAUUUUCAGGCUUAAAGUUUUAUAAUUUUAAUAUUUGAAAUUAUGUAAAGUUAGAUGAGUAAAACAACUACCUGAAUUGUCGCAAAACAUUUAGGCUGUCCGGUGCCCACUGUGACUCUCACAUGGGUUCCUCGGGGACCGAUGAGCCACGCCUCCACCCUGGGAUUGCACAGAGGCCUUCCUCCUCCGGCACCUUCCCCUUCUGAUCUUUGAGGAGGGCCCCAGUAACCAGCCCCUCUGAGCGUGUCCUUCAGGGCCACCUUCCUGCUCGUGGCAUUAGAUAAAGCAGACCAGCCGAUUUUUGCUGAGAACCGCUCUGAGAGGCCAAGACUGCCCGUGCUCUUUCCUUGGCCCUGUUUUGAGCUUCUUGAAGCCGCACCUCAGCCUUGCCUAGCCGACUCUUCUCGCUGCGGCGCUCCGUGCGUGUCUGCGAGUCAGGGCCGAGUUCACCGUGAAGGUCACGUAUGUCCGUGCACUUGAGUUGCAUGGUGAACUCCAUUUCUGCGUGGGGCUGGUGCUCCCUGCGUGGUCACUCUGGCCUGCUUGUCCAGAGGGUCGUCCAGAGAACAGAUGCUGGUCCUGUAAUUUCUAUGCGGGCGUGGAGCGUGUUUCUGGUUCUCUGGCAUGCAUUUUUUUCUUAGUGUUCUUCAGGAUUCCUUGUUUGAUUUCAUGCAGAGCCCCUCAAUUUCCCUGA